ensembl:lncRNA
AUCUUGGAUUAUCUGGCUGGACUGGAGGCAGGAGGGUCAGAGUCAGAGAUUGAGAGAUGAUGAUGGAAGCAGAGGUCAGAGAGAAGGAUGAUAAGAAUCUGCACUGCCGGCUUUUAAGAUGGAGCCAAGGAAUGCAGGCGACCUCUGGAAGCUGGAAGAGGCCAGGAAAGAUUCUUCCUCAGAGCCCUCAGAGAGAACAGAGCCCUCCCAAUGCCUUGAUUUUUAGAUUUCUGAUAUCCAGAACUGUAAGAUAAUAAAUUUGUGUUGUUUUAAGCCACCAACUCUGUAGUAACUUGAUACAACAGCAAUAGUAAAUGAAUACAUUCCAUAAUAAAGAUGAUAGCUGGUCCCCUGCCACAUUCUCUUUCAUUUAAAGAAUGCAAUUGAUUAGGUUCUUUCAGAGAUGACUGCAAUGUGACUGUGACAUAAUGGAGGGAACCUUCACAUCCAGAGGGAAAUAAACAUCCAAUCAACAGUCAAAUUACACAGAUUUGUGAGUGAGGAGACAAGUUGAGUUAAAAUAGAUUUAGAGGACGUUAAUUUAUAAUUUGGUAAUAUGAGUACGGGGUGUGGAUGAGAUCAAUCAAAACACAGAAGAAACGAUAAAGAGGACCAAGGACAGAUCCCCGGGAAGCACUAAGGCUGUGGCAGAUGAACGGAAGCGCACAAAGUCUGAAGAAGAAUGGCCAGAGAGAGAAAAGAACUAGUGAGAAUCAGUAUGUUAUGUUUCAGCUUAUGGCCAGAAACUAUGGAUAUGGAUAUGAUACGGUUACUCAAGAAACUCACAGUUUUGGAAGGAAGAUAAACAUAAAA